rnacentral:tRNA from 1 species
CUGCCAGUAGCUCAGUUGGAUAGAGCAACGGUCUUCUAAACCGUAGGCUGCGGGUUCGAGUCCCGCCUGGCAGG